UACCACCUGGCUACCUGUAUAACAUAAAGUAUUUACAAAUUUUUUGAAAUUUGUAAAUACUUUAUGUUAUUCAGGUAGCCAAGUGGUA
rnacentral:miRNA from 1 species